rnacentral:rRNA from 1 species
GACGUAGGGCGCGAGCGUUGUCCGGAUUUAUUGGGCGUAAAGAGCUCGUAGGCGGCUUGUCGCGUCGACUGUGAAAACCCGCGGCUUAACUGCGGGACUGCAGACGAUACGGGCAGGCUAGAGUUCGGUAGGGGAGACUGGAAUUCCUGGUGUAGCGGUGAAAUGCGCAGAUAUCAGGAGGAACACCGGUGGCGAAGGCGGGUCUCUGGGCCGACACUGACGCUGAGGAGCGAAAGCGUGGGGAGCGAACAGG